rnacentral:rRNA from 1 species
AUUGAACGCUGGCGGCAGGCCUAACACAUGCAAGUCGAGCGGAGCGGCGGACGGGUUAGGAAUGCCUAGGAAUCUGCCUGGUAGUGGGGGAUAACGUCCGGAAACGGGCGCUAAUACCGCAUACUAUCAGAUGAGCCUAGGUCGGUUUAGCUAGUGGGGGGGGUAAAGGCCUUCAAAGGCGACGAUCCGUAACUGGUCUGAGAGGAUGAUCCGUCCCACUGGAAUGGGGGCACGGUCCAGACUCCUGCGGGAGGGAGCAGUUGGGAAUAUUGGACAAUGGGCGCAAGGCUGAUCCAGCCAUGCCGCGUGUGUGAAGAAGGUCUUCGGAUUGUAAAGCUCUUUAAGUUGGGAGGCGUUACCAACAGAAUAAGCACCGGCUAACUUCGUGCCAGCAGCCGCGGUAAUAC